CGGUCCAGACUCCUACGGGAGGCAGCAGUAGGGAAUCUUCCACAAUGGACGCAAGUCUGAUGGAGCAACGCCGCGUGAGUGAAGAAGGGUUUCGGCUCGUAAAGCUCUGUUGGUAGUGAAGAAAGAUAGAGGUAGUAACUGGCCUUUAUUUGACGGUAAUUACUUAGAAAGUCACGGCUAACUACGUGCCAGCAGCCGCGGUAA
rnacentral:rRNA from 1 species